CUUAUUUUUAAGAUCGUUUCUGAGAGCAGUGGCCGAUGAGGAAACCGAUGGCUAAUUUCAAACAAAGGGCAGUUCACACUUAUCGAUAUUACAAAGGACGACGGUGGGAAUUGGUCAAAUGAAAAUUCAAGGUGUGGUUACCUGUCAGUAUUUGUGCAUGGCCAGGUGUGGAUUGCUCUAUGGAUCGAGAGAAUUUG
rnacentral:lncRNA from 1 species